GCAAAAAAAAAAAAAAACGUGAUAAUUCUCUUCAAGAAUAAUAAAAUAAAUUAUCUCUCGUUAAUGAUACAUGAAUUACUCAACACUGAAAUAUCCGUCGAACGUUUCUAAUCGAUGCAUAAUAAAUCAAAAGCCACCGACAAGUCGCGCCUCCAUCGGCCGUGUUUCCAAGCAAAUCGUUCCUCGGGUCGCGGUUCCAUUCACUGGCAUUGACGUCACUGAAAGCAACCGAGGUCCCGGUAAACGUGUGCACAGGCGACCGUUAGGCAGUAGCAUCCGCAAAACUCGAUCCUUGGGCAGAAUCUGGUUGCGUCACGCGCCGAUACAAGCGAACGGACACACGGACGCUCGUCUCGAAGUCUGGCAGUUCUUGAUGCAGGCUUCGAUCCCGGCGAAAGAUGAGCAAACUCGAGAUCCGUGAGAGAUUCGCCGUACUUCCUCGAUGGAACGACUUUUCUGACCACUUCUGCACGAACGACAGCCAAUGUAAGGCUACGAAGAUGCGGAUUUUCUUGCUGUCAAGAAAUCCCGUACAGGGAUCAUCUUUGAUCGAUCGAUAUUCCCGAAUAGACGAGCCAUCUUCGAACCGAAGCGCUUAUUUUUCUUUAUUUUGAGAUACAGCUUUGAUUGGCGCUAUCUGUGUGUAAUGUAUAAUCGAACAGAUUAGGAAUUUUUACAGGGAUG